ensembl:lncRNA
AAAGAGAAGGCCAAGACACGCACGUGAAUGGACAGAGAACAGAACAGAGGGCAGUGUUUCCACAUCGACGCCUAGAGAAAGUGUGUCUUCCUGAAAGGAUUAGGGUAGGCUUUUGGAAGAAGGUGGCAAUUAGAAGUGGCCUUGAAUGACGGAAAGGAUUCUGAUGGGAGGAGCGGCUGGGGGCUGUCCAGGCAGGAGAAGGAGAGGCGGCGUGGUGCGUAUCUGGAGAGCCCAAGCAGUCUGACGUCGGAGCAGAGGCUAAGAGCUGGGGAGCUGUGCAGCUGAGAGAGUAGAUUGGAAAACACCACGCUGAUCAGGAAAGCAUGUGGAGCCCAGGAUGCUGUAAUUUUCGUCCUGCCUGAUCUGCUAAGGCAUUCGGGAGCUAUGGCGACCACAGAGCAGUGUCUGCAGAGAAGGAAAGCAGAGCAGCCCAUCUAUCACCUCCAAGGACGGAAAAUGCAGUAAAUUCAGGAGAAGCAAUACUUCGAAAUGUCAACCUUUACUUAAGGCUGCAUAACGCUUUCAGGAGAGGGGACACAGAAAAACAGCCAUCGGGCGCUGGCUGCAGGAGACUGACACAGGCAAUUUGGAUCAAUACACGCUGAUGUGUCCCAGCGAUUCAGCCAAGAGUUGUAAAGCUAGUCAGCUUCUUGGUGCAGAAAAGGAGACCUGACAGAUGGAGACGGUGGUUGAUGGAGGUCCAGAUUGGCCUUCUUUCUCAGGGUGUCCACCUGGGCUUCUAAGCCGCCUCCAGAAUCGGAGGAUCCUUUGUCUUCAGCAGUCUACUGGGAGGGAAGUUUAUUUGCCCCACUCCUCAUGAUCCCUACAGAAUAGGGGACCCCUCCCCACGCUCUCCCCUCAGGAAGAUUACGGGGGCAACAUGACCAGGCCUUCUUUCUAGGCUUCCUUGGGAAAAUGGAGAGAGGGCCUGACACCCACCUUACUCAGCACAUGUGUCUGCUCACAGGUCAUCUCCCCUCCACGCUGCCCUGAGUCCUGCAUAUGAGUGCCCCUGCUGCUCCCCCUGCGGCCAAGGCAUGAUUUCCACCCAGGGGAAAGCGAAGACGCCUCUUUUGGCCUCGGAUCCCAGCCAAGUCUUCAGUCGGCCUUCUCGGCAAGAACACCGUUCCUGUGAUCUUUAAUUCUCUGUGUGUUAUGUCUCCCUUGGUUUGGAAUCCAGAGGGGAGGAGCAGUGUGGGUUGUUAACACCCUCAAAUCCCCAAUGCUGUGGAGAAACCCAGGAAGCCAAAUGCCGAGUUCAAGCGUCAGUAACACUUUCCCUGUUUCCCUUGUCUUGAGCUGCUGUUAAUUCACAAGAUCAGAAUUUAACACCGAGAAUGUACCUAUUCUUGACAAAAACAAAGUCGUGCAGUACAGUGGGCUGGGAAGGCUCGAAAGGUGUGAACCGUGGGACUAGGGCAGCCCCAGUGUACUUAAACUAGGUCCAAUCUGCUCUGGCGAGAACACCGCCCCUCUGUUCUGGAGGAGGAGGUACCCUUCGGCCCCCUACUCCUCAAGCACGUGCUGUAAGCUGUGGUCCAGGCCAGUCUGUCCUUAUUUAUCACACCUGCCGCCCCGUGAGAGGGGCGCUCAUGGUCUUUCCUUUCCCAGAGUGAUGUGGGUCAUCUGCACCUUUUGUUUUCAUCUGAUUUAUCAAGCUGGCCCGAGGGCUUGUCUAGGUCACCCUUCUGUGCAGAGAUGUCUGGCUAAGUCAGAACCUCAGCUCACGAACGUGAAGCGGAAAAUCCCAGAAGCCAAGAGCUCACACGGGAUGCCAGAAGGGGUGCCUGAGGACGGCGUCUUUCAUCUGGGGGCAAAAAUCACUAACCCCUCCUAGCUAGCCCCCUUGAAGAUUAGCCCUGAGCUAACAUCUGCUGCCAAUCCUCCUCUUUUUGCUGAGGAAGCCUGGCCCUGAGCUAACAUCCGUGCCCGUCUUCCUCUACUUUAUAUGUGGGACGCCUGCCACAGCAUGGCUUGCCAAGCGGUGCCAUGUCCGCACCUAGUAUCCGAACUGACAAACCUGGGGCCGCUGAAGCGGAACGUGUGAAUUUAACCGCUGUGCCACCAGGCUGGCCCCUCUUGGUUUCAUUUUUAAUGUCAACACUACUGCCCAGGACGUGGGAGUCUAGAAUUGAACCAUUUAGCAGAAACAGGAUAAUGGAAGGAUUAUUCAUUAGUGCUUCACUCCUACAACUAACCAUAACGAAGAUGAAUGGCUUUACCGUUGCAAAGGACUUCCCAUGUUCAUGUCCUUUAGCCAUCACAACUCUGUGGGAGGAAGUUUUAUUUUUUUUCUUUGAAUGGGGAGAUGAGUAAAUAGAGGUUAAGUGCGUGACUUACUUUCAUGAAGCUGGUAAGGGCAUAACCAGCAUAGCAAAGAUCAGAAAGAAGGUUUCUGACCCCAGGCCUGGGCUUGUUUUAUGACCUUCACCCCCGCCCUGAUGGAGACCUUCUCGUAUGGACCAUUUUAUGAUGCUAUAUCAGCGAGGAACUAUAUUUGACUGACAGUCAGAGAGAUCCCAAGAAUAAAGACUCCAAGCCUUUAUUCUUUGACAAAGAAAAAGGUCUGAGAGGGAAACAGCCUGGGGUUGUACGCAGCUUCACAAAAUCAUCAGAGACUUGGCUUCCUGUGACUAUGACCUUCAUUUUCUUCGUCCAAGAUGGUUGCUGGAGCUCUCGCCAUCACAGAUUUCAUAUUGCAACCAACCUUUAAGAAACUACUACUUGUCAAGUUUCGGUGCAAUAUCAAAGAAGAAUGUUCACAAUUAUUUGAAAAAGCUGUUCACAUACUUCUCCCUUUCCGACCACUUAUCUGUAUGAGCUGGAUUUUCUGUAUACACUUCAACUCAAAGAACGUAUCCCAACAGACUGAUGCAGAAGCAUAUAUGAGAAUAUUAUUUCCCUUCAGCUGAACAUUAAAGAGAUUUACAAAAAUGGAAAAUGAUGCCACUUUUCUCAUUAAAUUUUUCUUUGGAAAUCAUAGUUAUUUUUCAUAAAAAUAGUUAUUUUCAC